rnacentral:rRNA from 1 species
GACGAACCGUGCGAACGUUGUUCGGAAUCACUGGGCUUAAAGGGCGCGUAGGCGGCUAGGCACGUCGGAUGUGAAAGCCCGGGGCUCAACCCCGGAACGGCAUCCGAUACGGCUUUGGCUCGAGACCGGGAGAGGAGGGUGGAAUUCCUGGUGUAGCGGUGAAAUGCACAGAUAUCAGGAAGAACACCCGUGGCGAAGGCGGCUCUCUGGGACGGUACUGACGCUGAGACGCGAAAGCGUGGGGAGCGAACAGG